rnacentral:ncRNA from 2 species
CUGUCCGAGGGGCGCUGCAGCAGGUUCGACCUGUCAGGCUCGGAUGGGGCGUUGCCCGGCCACGAUCGGCUGGACACUAAACGCACAACGGCGCCCAUUCGCA